ACGAACGCUGGCGGCGUGCCUAAUCCCUGCAAGUCGAACGCAUUUUCUUUCACCGUAGCUUGCUACACCGAAAGAAAAUGAGUGGCGAACGGGUGAGUAACACGUGGGUAACCUGCCCAUCAGCGGGGGAUAACACUUGGAAACAGGUGCUAAUACCGCAUAAUUCCAUUUACCGCAUGGUAGAUGGAUGAAAGGCGCUUUUGCGUCACUGAUGGAUGGACCCGCGGUGCAUUAGCUAGUUGGUGGGGUAACGGCCUACCAAGGCUGCGAUGCAUAGCCGACCUGAGAGGGUGAUCGGCCACACUGGGACUGGGACACGGCCCAGACUCCUACGGGAGGCAGCAGUAGGGAAUCUUCGGCAAUGGACACAAGUCUGACCGAGCAACGCCGCGUGAGUGAAGAAGGUUUUCGGAUCGUAAAACUCUGUUGUUAGAGAAGAACAAGGAUGAGAGUGGAAAGUUCAUCCCUUGACGGUAUCUAACCAGAAAGCCACGGCUAACUACGUG
rnacentral:rRNA from 1 species